GGCUAAAUACGACCACGAGACCGAUAGCGAACAAGUACCGUGAGGGAAAGUUGAAAAGCACUUUGAAGAGAGAGUUCAAGAGUACGUGAAACCGUUUAGGGGUAAACCUGAGAAACCCGAAAGGUCGAAGGGAGAAAUUCAUUCGCGUCUCGACGCAGGCGUCGGACGGGGUCAGAGCGACGGAACGGGCGCGCGUUUUUCUUCGGAAUCGCGCGUUCGAUUUUGCGCCCUCCGUCCUUCGAACCGGCUGCGAACGCGUGCACUUUUCUCCUGGUAGGACGUCGCGAUCCGUCGGGCGUCGGUCUACGACUUGCGGCGGAGACCGUCCGUCGUUCUCGCGAACGUACGGCGCGGACCCGCUCGUUCCGGCCGACUCGCUCGACGGUAAGCUCGAGGUCUGGGGUCGCUACGAUAUCUAUACCGUAGAGCGUUCGACUCGUCGCAAGCGCGUCACGUGCGUCGGCACGCGGACCCGGUGCCGCGUCCGAUCUCUGGCGACUGUUGGCGACGAAGUUCUCGGACAGACUUCCGUAAAAAAGGGGCGGGGAGGAGAAGAAGGGGGUUCGCGCUUCCUUCUCGCUCUCUCUCUGUCUCUCGAAGACCGAUCGGCGACG
rnacentral:rRNA from 1 species